CGUGGGUGUGACGAUGGUGAGCAAGGAGGUGAUGUAGCAUGGGAGUUUCCAAUCCUCCCACUUUCAUGACUCCCCCGAUGGUAGCGACGUCUGAUUGAAGAGGCAUCCGUUCGAUCGCUCCUACAUCUUUGGGCUUGUCCACGCCCUUGCCUCUCUCUCCUAGGCUUGAACCCAUGCUGCCUCCAUCAUCGCCGUCGACCUCCGCCUCAAUUCCUUUGAAAUUUGACACCUCCCUCUCAACCGCCCCUCUCGGCUUCCUCCCUCUACUGCUCACACUGUCACAAC
rnacentral:lncRNA from 1 species